rnacentral:rRNA from 1 species
UACGGAGGGGGCUAGCGUUGUUCGGAAUUACUGGGCGUAAAGCGCACGUAGGCGGCUUUGUAAGUUAGAGGUGAAAGCCCAGGGCUCAACCCUGGAAUUGCCUUUAAGACUGCAUCGCUUGAACAUCGGAGAGGUAAGUGGAAUUCCGAGUGUAGAGGUGAAAUCGUAGAUAUUCGGAAGAACACCAGUGGCGAAGGCGACUUACUGGACGGAUUUGUUGACGCUGAGGUGCGAAAGCGUGGGGAGCAAACAGG